CUACGGAGGAUCCGAGCGUUAUCCGGAUUUAUUGGGUUUAAAGGGAGCGUAGGCGGACGCUUAAGUCAGUUGUGAAAGUUUGCGGCUCAACCGUAAAAUUGCAGUUGAUACUGGGUGUCUUGAGUACAGUAGAGGCAGGCGGAAAUCGUGGUGUAGAGGUGAAAUGCUUAGAUAUCACGAAGAACUCCGAUUGCGAAGGCAGCCUGCUGGACUGUAACUGACGCUGAUGCUCGAAAGUGUGGGUAUCAAACAGGAUUAGAUACCCUGGUAGUCCACACAGUAAACGAUGAAUACUCGCUGUUUGCGAUAUACAGUAAGCGGCCAAGCGAAAGCGUUAAGUAUUCCACCUGGGGAGUACGCCGGCAACGGUGAAACUCAAAUGAAUUGACGGGG
rnacentral:rRNA from 1 species